GUCCCCUUCGUCUAGCGGUUAGGACACCACCCUUUCACGGUGGAGACACGAGUUCGAUUCUCGUAGGGGAUGCCA
rnacentral:tRNA from 1 species